rnacentral:rRNA from 1 species
UACGUAGGGUGCAAGCGUUGUCCGGAAUUAUUGGGCGUAAAGAGCUCGUAGGCGGUCUGUCGCGUCGACUGUGAAAACCCAAGGCUCAACCUUGGGCUUGCAGUCGAUACGGGCAGACUUGAGUGUGGUAGGGGAGACUGGAAUUCCUGGUGUAGCGGUGAAAUGCGCAGAGAUGCGGAGGAACACCGAUGGCGAAGGCAGCCCCCUGGGCCAACACUGACGCUCAGGCACGAAAGCGUGGGGAGCAAACAGG